rnacentral:tRNA from 1 species
AGGAAGGUUCCGUUUAUUGGUAAAACGGGUUGAGCUGUAAACUCAAUAACGAGAGUUUUUGAAGGUUCGAUUCCUUUUCUUCCUA